UCUCGAUUGGUCUAGUGGUAAGGAUACCUGCUUGUCAUCGAUGGUCUCUGAUCAUACAAUUCGCAGGUGGCCGGGGUUCGAUUCCCCGAUCGAGAG